CAUGCUGUAAACGAUGAGAACUGGCUAUUGGUAUCGCAAGGUAUCAGUCGCGAAGUUAACACGAUAAGUUCUCCGCCUGGGGAGUACGGCCGCAAGGUUGAAACUCAAAGGAAUUGACGGGGGCCCGCACAAGCGGUGGAGCAUGUGGUUUAAUUCGAUGCUACGCGAAAAACCUUAACCUACCCUUGACAUCCUGUGAACGUUCAAGAGAUUGGAUGGUGCCCGAAAGGGAGCAUAGAGACAGGUGCUGCAUGGCUGUCGCCAGCUCGUGUCGUGAGAUGUUGGGUUAAGUCCCGUAACGAGCGCAACCCUUGUGCUUAGUUGCCAGCUAGUAAAGUAGGGUACUCUAAGCAGGCUGCCAGUGAUAAGCUG
rnacentral:rRNA from 1 species